rnacentral:rRNA from 1 species
GACGAACGCUGGCGGCGUGCCUAAUACAUGCAAGUCGAGCGCAGAAGCGUGGUGCUUGUUCCGCCGGGGUUAGCGGCGAACGGGUGAGUAACACGUGGGUAAUCUGCCUUUGAGCGGGGGACAACAUCGGGAAACGAAUGCUAAUACCGCAUAAUAUCUUUAAACACAUGGUUCAAGAGUGAAAGACGCUAUUGCUUUACCCAAAGAUGAGCCCGCGGUGGAUUAGCUAGUUGGUGAGGGAAAGGCCCACCAAGGCGAUGAUACAUAGCCGAACUGGGAGGGGGAUCGGCCAACUCUGGAAUGAGACACGGCCCAAACUUCUACGGGAGGGCGCCGUAGGGGAUCUUCGGGCAAGGACGAAAGUCUGACCGGGCCACGGCGGGUGGGGGAAGAAGGGUCUCGGAACGUAAAAAUCUGUUGAUAGAGAAGAAAGUUGGUGGGAGUGGAAAACUCAUGAAGUGACGGUACCUACCCAGAAAGGGACGGCUAACUACGUG